CUUCUCUUCUAUGUCAGAUCUCUCUCUGCUUCUCUUACUGGAAGGAUGUUUGGAAGUGCAUUUAAAGUCACCUGUAUAGUCCAAGUCCCCAUCUUAACAUCCUGAAACAGUUACAUUUGCAGAGUGUUUGCUGUAAGUAUAAGGUAACCUUACAGGUUCCAGCGAUUAGGACAUGGAUCUCUCUUCUAGGACUUUUUUAGCCCAUAAAGCCACCAUCAUCUUUGCUGUGGUCUGAGUCCGUGCCCUUCUAAUGAGUCUGCCUUCUCCUUUUACUGUUAUCACCAAGUAGGGAAAGUGACUUCGAGGAGCAGGUCUCUAGCUUAAAACCUUGCCAUUCUCCUUUAAAGCCUUUUAAAUCCUUAUUGUUGCCACAAGGCCCUAUUUGAGCUGAUCCUUGGCUGCUGCUGAAGUAGCUCCAUCCACAUUUCCCCACAUUGUCCCCUCUCCUAACCACAACAUCUCCUUGCUAUUUCUAACAUAUGCCAAGCGUACUGGAGGGGGUUCUUUUUUCUCUGAAGAGAACUUAUCAUACUUCUUCAUGUCGUUGCUUCCUUCUCAUCAUGUAAACCUCAGCUGCAAAGUUACCCAUUCAGAAAUGUAUCUUUAUUCUCUACCCCACUUGCCCCUGUUCUUUUUAAAGUUUUUAUUAGUGCAUGUUUGCAGUAGAUACGGUUCCAUUCAUUGUAGGGAAUUGGUUCAUGUACAUAGCACAACUCAAUUCUGUUUUUUCCCCUUCCCCCUUUUAUUUUUUUGCCAGCAUCAUAUUAAUUUAUCUUAUACAUCCUUAUAAAGUUAAUUAUUGUACAUACAGAUUAACAAUCAUCUCCCCAUUCUAUCUCCUUAACAGUACUCAUCGUUCUCUGAAAUUGUCUUAGGGACUUGUCUGUUGGUGUAUGAUUGCUUGGCUAGCCCAGGCUUCUCUACAACCUAGACACCCCAAACGGCAUGGAAUCCACCCAGGGGUGACCCACCCACUCUUGGGGUAAGCCCAGAUGUCCUGUCCACGUUCCUCAUGAUUUGUGUACCAACCAGUGAUUCAACGUACCUGUCUGACUGGUAAAAGAUGGGAAGGAAGAUCACCCACCUUGUUCCAGAUGUCUGUAAAACUCUAGUUUCCGUGUCCCUUGCGUGAAAUUGGCACAGGAGGAAAAGACAUAACACUCCCAGCCCUGCUAGUAUCUGAAGCUCGAGUUCGUGUUCUCUAAAAUCGAAGAAUGAAUUCUAGGAACAGUGGAGGUUGAGUAGGAAAAUUUAAUGAAAGAAAGCUACUGUCUAAGAGAGACAAAGGGGACCAGAAAGUGGAUUGCCCGGCCGGCCACCCCACUUUUCAAAGGUGUUUUGUACAGCAAAGCCGUGUGGUGAGGCAGGUACAAAGCAGGACAAAAGUAUAAGACCCAGUGGAAAUUUACGAGGUGGGCAUGAGGUGGGACAAAACUGUGACCAACCAAUAAGAUUACAAAUACAGUCGCCCAGGUAAUACUGAUUAAAUGGAAGUCAAAUGGGGGAGCAAGUCACAGAGCAAGCGUGGAAGGAACUGAGCAAGGAUUUUUAGUGGAAAGGGGUGGGUCAGGGAUCUAUCUUGAUCUUUGUCCCCCACCCAGGUGGUUGAUACCUAUUUAGAAUAUCAAUCACUGCUGUUCAUCCUUAGGGGAGGCAUGUGGGAGUGGUAGUUUCUGUGUUUUUAUAGUGCUGGCCUUCAGUGAAUGUGUCUUGCUUGUCCUCCCUGUUGGCUCCUUCUGGAGUGGCUCCAACUGCCUACAAGAUAUUUAAUUAACUUACCUACCUGCAAUA
ensembl:lncRNA